UUUGAAGAUUUUCAUAUGCUUUAUUUCUUAUGUUAUUGUGUGAGUUCAGUCAAAAUAUACCACAAAGAAGGGUGAUAAUUAUCUGAAGACACAGUAACACACAUUCACACAAAAUGUCCAGCAGAAAUGUAAUGCAUCAUAU